GUACAUCCAGAGAACUUAGCAGAGAUGCUUUGGUGCCUUCGGGAACUCUGAGACAGGUGCUGCAUGGCUGUCGUCAGCUCGUGUUGUGAAAUGUUGGGUUAAGUCCCGNAACGAGCGCAACCCUUAUCCUUUGUUGCCAGCGGUUCGGCCGGGAACUCAAAGGAGACUGCCGGUGAUAAACCGGAGGAAGGUGGGGAUGACGUCAAGUCAUCAUGGCCCUUACGGCCAGGGCUACACACGUGCUACAAUGGCGCAUACAAAGAGAAGCGACCUCGCGAGAGCAAGCGGACCUCAUAAAGUGCGUCGUAGUCCGGAUUGGAGUCUGCAACUCGACUCCAUGAAGUCGGAAUCGCUAGUAAUCGUAGAUCAGAAUGCUACGGUGAAUACGUUCCCGGGCCUUGUACACACCGCCCGUCACACCAUGGGAGUGGGUUGCAAAAGAAGUAGGUAGCUUAACCUUCGGGAGGGCGCUUACCACUUUGUGAUUCAUGACGUGGGGUGAAGUCGUAACAAGGUAGGCGUAGUGCU
rnacentral:rRNA from 1 species